rnacentral:piRNA from 1 species
UGAAAAGUGUCCGGUGCAACAAUGAGGGCC